rnacentral:sRNA from 1 species
UUGAUAAUAAGCACAUGACAGGUGUCACC